CGUGGAUGAGCCCCCUCAUUUUCUGCCUUCACAAUGCAAAUGCCCUAGCAAUGUCGGAUGUUCCCUGCGUGUGCGGUGAAACCGGGUGUGUGAUCGCUGGCUGUGCCUGUCUGCUGGUUACACUUAUUGAUGGUAUCUCCAGAGGUUUCCAAUUUCUAGAUACUCAGGUGUACUUCAAAGAUGCCAGAUGAGCACUUCUUGAGGUUGUUUCUGGUUCACAGGUUCAAAGUCCCCAGGCUG
rnacentral:lncRNA from 1 species